CACAGCCUGCUUACAGCCUGUGACCCCCACAGCUGUGGGAUCCUGCACAGCAGAGAAGGAGUGUGGUUUCCCUGCAGCUCCUGGGCUGGGAGGAGUGUCCUGGUGGGAGGGGCACUGGCAGCUGCUGUCAUCAGAAGCUAACAGCUAACAUACACUGAGCCAUUCGUGCCUCCCGUCAACUCAGUCUUCCAGAGAUGUGGGAAGCGCAAGUCAUCCGAACACCUGGAUCCAGCUGUGCCUAAAGCAAGCCGUUGCUACAAUGUCUUUAAUGUGACUCACUGAAUUCCUCAUAACUUGAACUGGUCUGAGUUGGGGUUUGGUCCCUCUCAAGUCGAGUCGGGGAGCCCUGAUUAACCCACCUGUCUUAUGGACUUUAUCAAGGCUUCUAUCUCCUCAUCCUUCUGAGGCGAGAGACACACCCGUUAACUGUCCCCUCCCUGUGCUGACUCACGGGUCCCCCAGAGUUUCUGUCCUCCCUUCCUUCAUGGGUCUGCCCCUUUCCCACACACCCUGCUCAGGACAGAGGGCGUGUGGGUGUGCGUGCCAGCGUGUGAGCACGCCCUUGUUCCGGGAAGGUGUCCCGUGGGCUUUGCUUGGCCCCAGAUCAGACCUCGUUAUUAACGUGAUGACAGCUAACAGAGACUGUGUCUGCCCCCAGAGCAGGUGGCUGCUCUGCAGGAGCAGCCCUUCCAGGCAUGUUUGUGGUCCCCGAGUCCUGGGAGGCCAACCAAGCUGAGCAGCGAGAAGCAGAAACUGCACCCCAAAUCCAGUGGCUGGAUCUCUACUCUGAAGUCAGAAGCAUAUUGACGUGGUUUCUGAUGGAGACAAUAGAUCACUAGGCCUGCUCAAGCCUGCCUAGCAUGACCUGGGUCCUUCAGCCCGGAGCCCAUGAUCCCCUCCUGGCUCUCCUGCUCUCUCCUCUCCACAGGCCCGGUACCAUCUACAGCUCAGGAGUGCUGAACUAGCCCUGUGCCUCUGCAGUCACCAAGAAGUGACUCUGGCCACCUCACCAGCCCUGUCACCUCUCAUGAACUACCACAGCACCUGGGCAUGAGGCAGUCCAGAAGAGUGACAAGUCAGAAGAAAGGAGGCAAGGGCCCGUGAGCUUGGCCACCUGAAUGUUCUUGGGGACAGGAGAGGAAGAAACCUCAAAACAGGGGCCAGAAGGCAGGGCACAUGGUGGCCCUGGGAAGCCACCAAGAGAUCUGUGGUUAGGACUUCUGAGGGUACAUGCUCCCACCCACGGGGUCUCCUGUCAUAGGCAGUUGAACAAGGUCCCAGUGGCUCAGGAUAUCAUUAAAGCAGAGACAAUGGAAGCUUCCAGUCAGCAUGGACAGAUGGGUAAACUGAGUCAGGGAUCCCUCAUAGGGCCAGAGAGAUCUGCUUGAUCGCCAGAGAGAUCUGCUUGAUCGCAGAUCAUCUGCUUGAGUCAAACUCUUGGCCCAGGAAACCCAGACAGAUUCAGGAGAGAGGAUCUAGGAGAGAGGAGGUGAGGCAAACCUCUUUUGCCCUCAGACACACAGCUUCCACAACCAGGUAGGCGGCCACACUCCAGGCCCCACCCACCGCCACGUCUCCUGAUGGACACUCACCUGCAGCAGCCCUGGCCUUGCAUACCCCAGGCACACCGCUCCUGGACUCAUCUCACAGCCAAUUGUCUCUCAGCCAGCCUCCAGGCCACAGCGAGGAGUGAGAGCCAGAAGCCAGGAUGGUUUGGAGGACACCGGAGCCAACGGGCAGCCAUCAGGGCAGCAGUGACCAAGCAGUUUGCUCGAAGCCAUCGUCCCCAUUUGGCAGAUGAAGAAGCAGCACAGAGAGGCCAAGUGGCUUGCCCUGGGUCACACAGCCAUGCAAUAGCAGAGACAAAAGUUAAUCCAGGCCCUGUGACUCCAAAGCGCUCAGUCCUGUCUUUAGUGCAGGCCUCACCAAGACUUUGGGACAAGAAGGGACCUGAGGAGAGGCAGGUGGCUGAGGUGGAAAUGUUAGGUCAGCUCCUCCUCCAGCUUCAGAAGGUAUGGCCCCUCCCUGGCCUCAGUUUCAGUCUCUACAAAAUGGGCAGCUGUCACUCCCGUCCCGGGCACAGAUACCUCUGAGUUUGAAACAUUCCAUUUUGCCUGGAAGCCCCUUAAGCAAGAAGGUAAAUGACUCCAGAUAGCAUCAGGAAGUCCCUGAGACUGAGCAGAUGCACUAGGCCCCGCCAUGCCAGAGUAAGUAAUAAAUGCGGAGAGUGGGCCUCAGACAGGAAGCUGAGCUGCGAAGAAGACCUAGACCAGACCAACUGCCUGGAAGGAACAGAAGCCAGCGGAGCUGCCCGGCAGAGGGUUGGACCAGCUGAGGCAUCUGGAAAGGACGCUCUCCAGCCUGGUGAGCUGCCUGCAGGCCGUGCAGUGGGCUCCAGGUUCCCAGCUUUGUGAGCUGUCACCCGUGCUGGGUGGGCUUUGGUGACAAAGCUGUCAUUGAGUCAUUUCUGCUCCUGUGAGUAACCCCUCCCCCAUAAGGGACCCCAAUAAAACUCACUGCAUCACCAA